CCAGACUCCUACGGGAGGCAGCAGUGGGGAAUCUUCCGCAAUGGACGAAAGUCUGACGGAGCAACGCCGCGUGAGUGAUGACGGCCUUCGGGUUGUAAAGCUCUGUUAAUCGGGACGAAAGGCCUUCUUGCGAAUAGUUAGAAGGAUUGACGGUACCGGAAUAGAAAGCCACGGCUAACUACGUGCCAGCAGCCGCGGUAAUACGUAGGUGGCAAGCGUUGUCCGGAAUUAUUGGGCGUAAAGCGCGCGCAGGCGGAUAGGUCAGUCUGUCUUAAAAGUUCGGGGCUUAACCCCGUGAUGGGAUGGAAACUGCCAAUCUAGAGUAUCGGAGAGGAAAGUGGAAUUCCUAGUGUAGCGGUGAAAUGCGUAGAUAUUAGGAAGAACACCAGUGGCGAAGGCGACUUUCUGGACGAAAACUGACGCUGAGGCGCGAAAGCCAGGGGAGCGAACGGGAUUAGAUACCCCGGUAGUCCUGGCCGUAAACGAUGGGUACUAGGUGUAGGAGGUAUCGACCCCUUCUGUGCCGGAGUUAACGCAAUAAGUACCCCGCCUGGGGAGUACGACCGCAAGGUUGAAACUCAAAGGAAUUGACGGGGGCCCGCACAAG
rnacentral:rRNA from 1 species